CCAAAGGCUCUUUUCAGAGCCACCCACACCCUCAAAAGAACUGUA
rfam:Mesocricetus auratus contig032199, whole genome shotgun sequence.